AACGAACGCUGGCGGCAGGCCUAACACAUGCAAGUCGAGCGAGGUAGCAAUACCUAGCGGCGGACGGGCGAGUAACGCGUGGGAACGUACCCUUUGCUACGGAAUAGCCCCGGGAAACUGGGAGUAAUACCGUAUGUGCCCUUCGGGGAAAGAUUUAUCGGCAAAGGAUCGGCCCGCGUUGGAUUAGGUAGUUGGUGGGGUAAUGGCCUACCAAGCCGACGAUCCAUAGCUGGUUUGAGAGGAUGAUCAGCCACACUGGGACUGAGACACGGCCCAGACUCCUACGGGAGGCAGCAGUGGGGAAUCUUAGACAAUGGGCGCAAGCCUGAUCUAGCCAUGCCGCGUGAGUGAUGAAGGCCUUAGGGUUGUAAAGCUCUUUCAGAUGGGAAGAUAAUGACGGUACCAUCAGAAGAAGCCCCGGCUAACUCCGUGCCAGCAGCCGCGG
rnacentral:rRNA from 1 species